rnacentral:tRNA from 1 species
GAUCUCGCCGGGCCGGCGGUCCUUCUCCUUGCCGCGGAGGGCCGGCACGAUGCAGAAGGUGCAGGUGUUGUUGCAGCCGACCGAGAUCG